rnacentral:rRNA from 1 species
AACGAACGCUGGCGGCAUGCCUAACACAUGCGAGUCGAACGAGACCUUCGGGUCUAGUGGCGCACGGGUGCGUAACGCGUGGGAACCUGCCCUUAGGUUCGGAAUAACUCCCCGAAAGGGGUGCUAAUACCGGAUAAUGUCUUCGGACCAAAGAUUUAUCGCCUUUGGAUGGGCCCGCGUUGGAUUAGCUAGUUGGUAGGGUAAAAGCCUACCAAGGCGACGAUCCAUAGCUGGUCUGAGAGGAUGAUCAGCCACACUGGGACUGAGACACGGCCCGGACUACUACGGGAGGCAGCAGUGGGGAAUAUAGGACAAUGGGCGGCGUCCUGAACCACCAAUGCCGCGUGAGUGAUGAAGGCCUUAGGGUUGUAAAGCUCUUUUACCCGGGAUGAUAAUGACAGUACCGGGAGAAUAAGCUCCGGCUAACUCCGUG